ensembl:lncRNA
CUGUAAACACCCCUGGAAGCUAGUUGGUAAGCUGGAGGUGAGAACACAAAAUCACAAGUGGGUAAAAUUCAUGUCAUGCAGUAAACAGACCAUUCUUACUGUGGCUGUAACAUAAAUCAGGUGUAAAGGUACCAAACCUGAAAGGAUGAAACUCUGUUCUACCCACCACUUCAAAAGCUUAUGCUAUUGAAGAACAGGAGACCGUAAAAAUAAAAUUUUAAAAAAGAUGUUGAAUAUAAUAUGCUCAGUAAACAAAACAUGAAGACCUGACUGUGGCAUCCAUCGUCUCAAGCUGGAUGACCGGGCCAGAAACUCACUGUGGUAUAUGUGACACGGACAUAAAGGUAAACAAGUCUCUAAAGUUAGAAGAGAAAUGAUAGAAAAGAACUGUUCUCUGUUCAAAAUUGCACUGAAUGGUCUGUAUUUUUCUGACAAGAUGAUGCUGGUCUGAAGAAUAAUGAGCCCAUUUGCUUUUCUGAUGUUGCUUGCCAGGGAAAAGUAAAUCUCACUCUCUUGCUUUGCAGUUUACUUUGUGUUAGUUUGACAGGAUCUUUAAAGAAAUUAAAUGGAAAAUAAUUGAAUCCUCAUAUAAGGCUUUAUUGUCUCAGGGGAAAGAAAAGUUUUGCAUAACACAGCCUUACCUGAAAAUCAUUAAUUGCAGCUUAAAAAAGUUUUGAAAUGAACAAAACGGGUUUUUUUGGUUUUUGUUUUUUUUUU